UUCUCCUGUGACAUAAUUGCUUGCUGCUGACUUGAACACUUAUCCAGCUCAGCUCCUUCUUUUGAUCCUUAUCCAGCUUCGGCAGAUUCUUGAGUCGACUUAAGAAGCACUGAAGGAUACUCUAUAGUUAAGGAACUCGUAUACUUAAUGUCCUUGCUUGCUUAUUGUUAUUCACUUGUUGACUUGUUUGUUCUCUCAACUCACUGUUUACUGUUGGCUUUGCUCUACCAGCUUACUGAUUGCUAAACAAAUGCCUUUAGCUUGGUAUGAGAGCUAUAAGAUGGUGCACAUAACCCUAUCAAAGAAAUAGUAACCGAACUGCGUCUAAAGAAAGAAGAGAAAAUCCGCACAACAACACUUCUAUAACUAUAAGAAAGUCACCCUAAACCC
rnacentral:lncRNA from 1 species